GAACAUGAAAAAUGUUCAGUAUUGCCAGUUACUAGAGAAACACAAAUCAAAACUACGGUGAAAUAUCACACGAGUCAAAAUAGCUAAUAUAAAAAAAACCCACAAACAAUAAAUGCUGGAGAGAGUGUGGAGAGUUCAAGGAACCCUCUUAUACGGUUGGUGGGGAGGUAAAUAGGUACAGCCACUAUGGAGAGCAAUACAAAAUUUCCCUAAAAAGCUAAAAAUAGUUACCAUAUGAUCCAACAGUCCCACUCCUGGACAUAUAUCUGAAAGAAGACAAAAACUCUAAUCAAGAAGAUCCAUGCACCCUAGUGUUCAUAACAGCACUGUUUACCAAUAGCCAAGACAUGGAAGCAACCUAAAUAUCCACUGACGGCUGAAUGGGUAAAGAUGUACACACACACACACACACACACACAUACACACACCAAUACUACUCAGCCAUUAGUUGUUGCUUGUGACUGGGGGGAUUAGGGAUAGGAGGGUGAUAGCUAAAGAGUACAGAGUUUCUUUUUGAGGUGCUGAAAAUACCCCAAAAUUGUGGAGAUAGUUAUACAUAUCUGAAUAUACUAAAAAGCCAUUAAAUUAUUUGGAAUAUGAAAUAUACCUCAAUAAUUGGAUGAUUGUUCACUGACUAAUAUUUAUGACUUACAUUUUGCUGAGGCCAGAUGGAGUGAGGGAAUAGAGAAGAAAGAAAGAAGAAGUGAGUACAAUGUCUGUCAGGAAAUUUUCUUAUUUCACGCUUAGUCGGAGAGCAACCAAAUAGAAGUGAUUCUUGAUUUUGAAGACAAGCAACUUAUGUACAUUUUGAUAUAUUACUUUCUGUUUAAGUUUGCUUAGCUACAGUCGAGUUUUUCUCUAAGUUUAUAAAUAAAGGCCUGAAUAUAAUCUCUCUUCUUUUUCUUUCCCUCCAACCUCCUUUCUUCUUUACAGGGAGUUUACACUGGGAGAGUACUUACCCUUCAGGAAUUAUUGAUCCAUGUUGGGAAGUUAAAUGCUGAAGCUGUUAGAGUUCAUUUAACAUUCCUCACUUUUCUGGAAAAAUGAGUGCUGAAGGAAUAAGUUAUCAGCAAGUUUUCCUAAACACGGACAUAGGCACAUUUCAGAUGUGCAAACCAACCUUCUGGAACAAAGUUAAAGGAACCAGUACUACAGGAAGCACUGCUGCGAUUUCAGAUUUACUCACCAAGGCACUUUCUUUUCACCCUUUCCAACUCAUGUACUCUUCUGGCUGACAGCACGAGAGAAACU